rnacentral:lncRNA from 1 species
GCAGAGUUGAGAUGGAACAACUGUAUCACAUCAGAGGCAAAACUUCCUGCUGGUGAACAUGAUGGCCAAGCUCACUUUAUAUCUCACCUCUGGGAUCCAGGUUUAGAUCUCUGGUUAUCAGCAUCUCCCAUACAGAACCAGUGGAAAUCCAACUCUGUCACUUAUCUUAGUCGUUCAUUGAUUAAUGUACUCUGCCAACUGAUACGAAAUUGCCUAUCAGUGACACGAAUGGACAAAAAGCAAAUGCCUAUGGGAACCUCUGACUCAGAGGUCCUCAGUCUUCCGUUUGUUUAUAUGGGUGCUUCUAAAGGUGGGGACUCGCACACCGUUAGGAGGUGCUGGGGCAGGACAGCAUUUCAGUAAAUAUGGAAGUAAAACCCUGGCUGAUACACCUAGUAACUGAGCUGACCUUGGGAAAGUGCCCUGUCCUCUCUGUGCCUCAGUUUCUUCAUCUAUAAAAUAAGGAGAUCAAUAAUACCCAUCUCACAAGCCUGCAGUAAGGAGUAAGUGUGUUCAUAAAUGUAAGGCGCUGAGACUGUGGACUGGCACAUAGGAAGAACUGUUCUUAAUUAUUAAGCACCUAUUGUUUGCUUAUGGCAGCAGCUGGGAGAAAUAACAAUAAGGAAGAUGAGAUGCCUGACAUUAAGAAGCAUGCCAUUCCUCAGAGGGUUCUAAGGCACAAUCACAGCUAAAGUCAAUCGGAAUAUAACUCUAGUGCAUGCUCAUGAUUAGGGAAAGUUUGGCUUACAAUGCUAAUGAUACUAUUAAUGAGGAUAGAUUGUAUUUAUCUACUAUGUGCUAAAUAUGGUACAACUUCAUUUGUUUGUUUUUCAUUUUUGAGGAAGAUUAGCCCUGAGCUAACAUCUGCUGCCAAUCCUCCUCUUUUUGCUGAGGAAAACUGGCCCUGAGCUAACAUCUGUGCCCAUCUCCCUCUACUUUAUAUGUGGGAUGCCUGCCACAGCAUGGGUUAACAAGCGGUGCGUAGGUCUGUGCCUGGGAUCUGAACUUGUGAACCCUGGCCCGUCAAAGUGGAACAUGCGAACUUAACCUGUGCCACUGGGCUGGUCCCUAUUUGUUCAUUUUUUUCAUCCUUCUUUUAUUCAUUUGUUAUUUCACUUAAUAAACAUUCAUUGGGCUCCUUUUAUAUAUUUGGC